AGUUAGGAAAUGGAAUGAGAGACAGGACCCCCCCUCUCUCUUCCUGAAAGAGUCUUUAUCCCAAAGGAAGUAGCUUCCAAGCAGAAGUUCCGGCAGGCCAUUCAUUACAGAAGUGCGGAGUGGUGGUUAGUGGCCACAGCCUGACCAGAAGUCAGCUGAGCUCAUUCCCAUACUCCUCCCCAGAGACAUACGGAUCAGUCAUGUUCUCAGUGUGGCUGAGCCUGCUGAACAAGGCACAGGCUACAGGAGAGCCAGAGUCAGGACAUCAAGCCAAGGAACCCUGCUAGCACCAUGGCCCAUGAGGAAGCCCCAUGUGCUGACUGUGUGCUUCCUGUAGCUGUACCCCAGAAGGAGGGUUCUGGCUCCACUGGAAAAGCUGGGCCAGUCUGAAGCUGGUUUGCCACCGUGACUGCAGACUGCACUGGCCUCUCCAGGAAAUUUGGAGAUACAAGAACACAUUAUAGAGGACCACAGAAUUUGGCAAGAUCAGAUUAUAGGGGAAUUCUACAAGCCUGAGGAACUAUUAGAUUAAAGAAGACAUAAGAGAUAUGCUAGUCAGCCAGCCUGAAAAGACCAUGUGAUUUCUGGUAGUGACGAGCAAAAAUGAAGAAGGAAAAGUCUAUGAGAGCAUCAAGGGAAUUUCAGUUUGGGUUAGCUAUAUGAUGAAAAUGGGGAAUUACUGUUCACUACUGCUGCAUUA